AUACUUGGUGUUCAGCAAAGCAAGAGUCGCUACAGAACCCAUUUUGUUUAAAGGACACGGACCAUGUUCUCAAAUAUAAUGUGUCAGAAAAUGCUGCUAGCGUUCACAUCGUUCUUAGUAAUUACCUGGAUGAUAUUUGUCAUUUCUCAAAAUUCUGCAAAGCUUUGGACCACUCUAAACACAGCCAUAUGUUUCCAUCCCUGGAACACAUCCAUGAAGUCCUCCUGUCCUGAAAUUCCAAUGAGCCAGUCAAAGUUACUACCAGUGAUUAAGCUAGAAGAGGAGAUCCCUAAAAUGACAGGCCACCAACAAGACAAGUCACCAACAGAGACAGAGCUGAAAGUCAGGGAGAUCCUGGAGAAGCUGGAUCGGCAGAUACCUCCCAGACCCUUCACCCACCUCAACUACACCACAAGCGCCACACACAGCACGGCCACCAUCCUCAACCCUCAAGAUACAUACUGUGUGGGGGACCUGCUGGACAUCCUAGUAGAGGCUAGAGACCACCUAGGAAACAGGAAGGGGUAUGGUGGGGACUUCCUGAGGGCCAGGAUGUUCUCCCCAGCCCUGAAGGCAGGAGCUUCUGGAAAGGUGACAGACUUCAACAAUGGCACCUACCUCGUCAGCUUCAUUCUGUUCUGGGAGGGCCCGGUCUCACUGUCUAUUCUGCUCGUGCACCCCAGUGAAGGGGUGUCAGCUCUCUGGAGAGCAAGGAACGAAGGCUACGGCAGAAUUGCUUUCAAAGGUGCUUUUGUUAAUGGCACGUCCCAGGUCACAGCUGAAUGUGGCCUGAUACUAGAGUCAAGCAGUGAGCUAUGCAAAUACCUGUACCGUGGUGGUGAGGAAGUCUUCUACUGCAUGAAACCUCAACACAUUCCCUGUGAGGCCCUGACCCAUGUGUGUACCAGGCAGCAAGGUGUUUCUUAUCUCACUGCCAAAGAAAAAGACCUUUUUCAGAACCUGAGCAAUCCUGCUAAGAAGUCAGCUCCCACCAGGCAUCAGCUCAUCUCCUGAGCAGGUUUGGCACAUGGGCCCUUCUUUGGGUAGAAGACUCCUCCAUUCUCCUCAAGUUGUGGCCUAGCAGUUCCUGGAAGCCCUCAGCUGCACAGGCUCCCCAAACCUAGUUGCCAGCAUGCCUCCUCCUGUCAAUCAAGGCCCUAAGACACCUAUCAGGUGGAAUUCUUUUUGUUUUCAUUCAGCCGAAAUCUAUACCCUCCCUCACACCGUCCACACACACACACAUUCACUCACUCACAUACACACUCACUCACUCACAUACACACUUACUCACUCACAUACACACUUACUCACUCACAUACACACUCACAUACACUCACACACAUAUACACAUUCACACACUCACACACAUUCACACACUCACACACUCUCAUACACAUUCACACACACAUACACUCACACACAUACAUACAUUCAUACACCCUCUCACACACUCACAUACACACUGAUACACACUCGCACACUCACAUAUAACCACACACACACACACACACACACACACACACACCACAUUUCAUUUUCCUUUACUUCAUAACAAAAUAAAAACAAUAGAUAGUU
rnacentral:lncRNA from 1 species